AUCAGGGUGAAUUCCAGAUUCCAAUCCCUCAUCUGCAACAGCUUUCCUGGCCAUCUUUUCCUCGCCUGCCUGCUGUUCCUCGCUAGCAACCCGUUGUCUCAUUUCUUCUUUCCAUUUGCGAUUUUUUUCCUUAAUUUUAUUCAUGCGGGCUUCUGUUUUGCCGCCUCCUCCGGCAGUUAAUUCAAUAUUGAUUUUCCUUUCCUUAUAAAUAGUAUGAUGAAACUUUAAAGCUUUUGAAAUAACAUCGGUCUUGGGAUUUAUAAACUCAACGAAUGCAUAUCCUUUCUGACGACCACUAGUUUUAUCGGUAGGAAUACGAACCGAAGGAACUUGACCUGCGCGUUUGAAAUGAAGUUGUAGAGUUUCAACAGAAGAAUCCUUAGGCAAAUUACCAACAAACAAAAUGACCUUUCUGUCAUUAUUUUUCCCUUUCUGUCGUUUGCUUUUCAAAGUUUUAUGAGGGGGAUUUGAAACGCUAUGUUUAUCUUUAUCAUUUGAUUGUGCUAGUUGCUUUUCUGGUAGUUCAUCUCUCGAUAUUUUGUCAGCGGCUUUCUUUUCUAAUUCCUCAUUCUUUUGCUGUACUUUCUUCUCAUGCUCUUCCAAACUUUGCGACUUUUUAUCAAAUUUUUUGGAGCGGUAUUCCAAAGAUUUUAAUUUCUUUUUCGAUAGUUUCGAAGACAUUAAAUAAAAAUUUGAUAAUGGAGAAUUGAAGGUGUUCAGUACAAAAGUUCCUCUAUCCAUAGGCAAGAAUAUUUUAACGAUGUUUACCCUUCUGACAGAAUGUAUACAUAACAAAGUUUCUUAAAACUUCGUUAAACAAAUCUGGAAAGUACAAUUGCACCAUCGCUAGACAAUAUCAGAAGUCUCUUGUUCAACGAAGUAAGAUAAAAUUUAAAGAAAUAAUAACAAGUUAAUUAGUGUUAUAUUUAGAAAAAUGUCAUUGCAGUACAUUCAGUCAUUAUUAGAUAUUAUUAGAUAUAUAAAUAAAAUCAUAAGUCCCCUUCAACAAUAACUAAGUUUUCGGAUUCUUCAUCUGUGUUCGACUCUCCUUUGCUUUUUUCAGAUUUAUCAAGAAUAGCUAAAUCCGGAACUUCUUUUUCGUUAUUUUUUGCUUUUUUGUCUUUCACUUUAGAGGUACCAUCCCCAUAACGAUCUAAUAUGCUUUGAUCAAUAUGUUUCUGGGUAGUCAUACGAGAUGCCUUGUUUUUUCGAAAUUCCAGCUCACCAGCUGUUGGAUUGGCUACAACAUGGACACGAGUUCCAGAACGCUCAGCUUCCCAGGCAAACAUUUGUAGUUUUUCGAAGUCUUCUUUUUCACCACCAGAUGCUUUGACAAAGCCAGCACCUCCAGAAGAAUCAUCCACCAUAUGAUAUCCAGUUUCGUCUCUCAUUGAUCUGGAUUUGGGUUCAUAUUGUAAGUUUUUAUUGUCAGCUCGCAAAUACGCCACCACAUCUUCUCGCAUUCUAAGGCUUGGUGUAGUUAUGGAUGCAGAAUCUUCGGAACCAGAAACGGUGGAAUUUCUUGAUGCUUUAACAGCAGAAUUUUCUGACGCAUCCCUAUUCUCUUCCCCCUUAUUUUGUAAUUCGUCCAAUUUUUCAUAUCUCUCAAUAACUUUCUUAUAAUCCGUGGCAUCAUAGCCAUUCCAACGAUCACGUUUCGCAUCCCAUGAAACGUUGAUAUCUUGAAUAACUUCGUCUGCUUGAAUAUCUUCUCCUGUCCAACGAGCACCCCGCUUUCUUGGUCGCUCCAUGCAAUCUUUAACUUUAUGGGACAUGGCUCCACAAUUCUCACAAGCACCCUUUCGAUAUUUUGUAGCAGCAGGUCCUAAUUUUUUCCCUCUAACGUACCAAGAGCCUUCAAUGGAGGAACGACCACCACUUGGUGUCUCUUUCUUGCCUAUCCUUUGAUGGGCUAAUCUUUCGACCGCAUCAUCAUCCUGAGCAUACCAAGGAGCGGUUGAAAUGAAUUUAGGAAUAUAGGGAUUAUCAGCAUCUGGAUUAUCCAUAGGACGACUACGACGCUUCUGUGCCUUCAUUUCACGCAUCGAAGGUCCAAUGUCUGUUGACAUAAAGUUUUUGUCCUUAGAAUAA